ACAAGUUACUUAUAUUUUCAAGUCCAUGGAUGAUCUCGUAAGGCCAAGACCCGCUUCUUUUUGUUGCAGAGCUACUCAAGUGAACUUCUACAUCCAAGUGCAUAACAUAGCGAUAGAAACUGAUCCUCUGCAUACCCUUCUUGCUUUCAUCUUCUUUGUACUCAUCGGUUUUCUCCAAAUCAGGCUUCAGCAGCAACUACGGAGGGUCAUGCGUCCACUGUUGCCAACUGUUUCAAUUGGUUUGAAUUAACCGCUUCAUCCAUGUAUCUAGAGCUUCAGAAUUGUAAUAACUGUUCCUUAAUUUCAGCAUCUGUUGUGGUAAUUUUUUUCUAAGCCCAAUUGGUGAUCAGUGUAUGAAGUACUAAUAUUUUUGAAGUACUUGUAACUCCGUAAGGAUUUUUGCAUCUACUUUUUUUUUAAUCAAUAUAUAGCUAAACAAGUUUUCAUUUA